GCUUUCAAAUGGAGAAUUUUACAAGAAGGUUUGAAAAACAAACCAGUGGAAGUGUCCGAGCUCAGAAGAUGUGUUGUUGAUAUUAUCAGAAGCCAUGUGUAUAGUAGGUAUAAGAUAAGGAGGGGCUUUUGGGGGAUUGCAAGCCUGGCCCCAAAAUGGUUUCCAGAAGGGGUACCUUUCUUGUCCCCUCACGACAACAACAAGGAAAAUCGCAUUCGAAGGGACGACUGCAUUGAGAUCAUCAAUGCCUACUAUGCAUACUUGAAGUAUUAUAAAAAAGUUAUUUUUUUC